ACUCGGCCACUGACGAGUCUCAAAUAGGACGAAACGCGCGUCCUGAAU
rfam:Schistosoma mansoni, Puerto Rico, WGS project CABG01000000 data, contig: 0062